rnacentral:lncRNA from 1 species
AUGUACCAAAAAAAAAAGAAAAAAAGAAAAAAAGAAGAAAAGAGAAAACACGGAGAAGUGGUUGUUUUCUCCAAUGGCAUAGUUGUAAAUAGGUUUGAAGUCUAGGGGCAUUUUUAUUUUUUUAUCAAAAAUAUUUGGAUCAAAAUUUCUCUCUCAUUUUGCAGAAACACUCACGUAGAGAACACAGAGAACGAAAAUGGCGAUUCUCCGAUCUCCGCCGCCGUGACUUUUCUCCGAUCUACACCGCGCUUCUUCUUCUCCACCGCGCUUCUUCUUCUCUCCGGUUUUUUUCAGGUAGAAGGAUUUGAAGUAGUAUGAAAAACACUAGCCACCGUCCACGUUUCACUGCUCCUGCCUCCUCAUUUGUUGCGCCUGCAGCCUCUUCAUCAGUCGUGCAUGCCUCCU